AUGAACGCUGGCGGCGUGCCUAAUACAUGCAAGUCGAGCGAACGGACGAGAAGCUUGCUUUUCUGAUGUUAGCGGCGGACGGGUGAGUAACACGUGGAUAACCUACCUAUAAGACUGGGAUAACUUCGGGAAACCGGAGCUAAUACCGGAUAAUAUUUUGAACCGCAUGGUUCAAAAGUGAAAGACGGUCUUGCUGUCACUUAUAGAUGGAUCCGCGCUGCAUUAGCUAGUUGGUAAGGUAACGGCUUACCAAGGCAACGAUGCAUAGCCGACCUGAGAGGGUGAUCGGCCACACUGGAACUGAGACACGGUCCAGACUCCUACGGGAGGCAGCAGUAGGGAAUCUUCCGCAAUGGGCGAAAGCCUGACGGAGCAACGCCGCGUGAAUGAUGAAGGUCUUCGGAUCGUAAAACUCUGUUAUUAGGGAAGAACAUAUGUGUAAGUAACUGUGCACAUCUUGACGGUACCUAAUCAGAAAGCCACGGCUAACUACGUG
rnacentral:rRNA from 1 species